ACGGAGGAUGCGAGCGUUAUCCGGAUUUAUUGGGUUUAAAGGUUCGGUAGGCGGAUGGAAAAGUCAGGGGUAAAACCCUGAAGCUUAACUGUAAACUUGCCGUUGAUACUGUCAUUCUUGAGUAUGGUCAAGGUAGGCGGAAUGUGUAAUGUGGCGGUGAAAUGCUUAGAUAUUACACAGAACACCGAUUGCAUAGUCAGCUUGCUGGGUCAUUACUGACGCUGAUGCACGAAAGCGUGGGGAUCGAACAG
rnacentral:rRNA from 1 species